GUGAGUCGCCACAACCCUCUCUUCUCCUUGCUCCUUCCUUCCUCGUUGACACAGCCGUCGCGCUCCUGCUCCGGUCCUCCCUCCCCCCGCAGCCCCUGGAGCUCUGCCGCCUCUUUGGACGAGAUCCACCGCCUUCCGAGGCCUUUAUCCAGCCCAGCUCGCGAGGAAGCCGCGGGAGGAGGAGCUCAACCGGGCGUCGCCGGCCAGAUAAGGAGGAGAGGCGCGGAUGCCAGCCAGGGAAGCGGAUUGGUUCGCCUCCGCCACGUCGUGAGCGUCGCCGCCGCCUCUGCAUCCGCCUUGCUCUGCAUAGCACCAUUUGUGCGGCGGCGGGGACAGGCAACCACAGGCUGAUUUUGGGGAGCGAGCAUCAAGAAAUGGCCGAUGCCAUGUGUAGACGAACAACGUGAGAUGAUACGCUGCAACGCUGGGGCCAAACAAUCAUACUGCAGCAGCAAUAGUCAGCCCAUGAUAAAUCUCUGUUAAGUGCUUCUUUCUCUUUACCUCUUUACUCUUGUGUCUCUGACUUUGAUUUCAUAGUAGUAUAUGUUUUUAGCUAGACACAGUGUUUACAGAUUUGAUAAAGAAGGGUAGAUGAAGAAUCUAUCAGAAGAUUUCGCUGAACGGAACUUGCAUUUGAUGUUAUGAGUGUAGAAACAUAUUCUGCACUUUUAGGAAAUUAGAUAAUAGGACCGACUAAAGGAGAACUUCGGUUAAACUAUUUCUUUAUUUGUUUGUGCAACCAACCUUAUUUGGUUCUGAUUGAAAGAUAAUAUGACCGGCUAACGGAGAACUUUGGCUAAAAUAUAUCUUUAUUGUUUCUGCAACCAUGCUUAUUUGGUUUUGAUCGAUUGCUGGACAUGCCGAAUAAUGGUAGUGUGCAUGUGUGGCAGUGUAUUUUUCCCCUUCAUUUUGAGAAUUUAUGUUUUAGCUACGGAGCAGGAGGUGCAAAUGGCCGGUACAGAAGCUCCUUAAAACUAUUCGAUGAAAGGUAGACUUUUAUUUCUUUCUUCUUUUCUUCUCUGCCCCUGAUCUGACAGCUUUGGCUGUAGCCUUUGUUUGCUUGAAAAUCUCAAAUCAAGAGGGCAUGGCUUGAUUGCUAUCAAUAUUUUGCGCUGGCUACAAGAACUUAGAACCUAUAGGACAACAAAGUACACAUACUGACAAGGUCCUAUGAAAUAAUAGUGAACUUGUUUCUUCAUUUCCCACAGGAAUAUUGCUGCGAUGAAGCCUAGAAAAGUUGAUGUAUUCUACUCUCUGAGUGAACUGCUAUACAUCAAAUAGGGAAGAAGAUCAAAAAAUUCAACUGCCUAUUACAGAUGGCUUAUUAACAAGCAACCGUACUAUGCUACCAGUGUGUUUUUAUUUUCAAACUGUAAUGUCAGUUUAAGACCUUAGAUACUCAGCUUUGCACUCCAUUUGUAAGACUGUAUUGCCUGCUUCUGUUUGCUAUUACCUAAGAUCAACAAUUAGUGUGGCCCUUUGUGUACUUUUCUAUUCGCCCUUUUUGUUUGACACAGCUCCUACGUUUCUAUUCGGAUUCCAGCUACUAUGGAGGCCCUUGGGUGCUGUGGUGUAUGGGCCCAGAGACAAUAGCCCAGCCAAAAUUCCAUAGGUAUAUCAUAUAUUGCUAUGAAGACAGACAGAUGAAACCCUAGAUCGGCAGAGUGUUCUCUCCCGCACGUUCAGUGCCUCGCUCUCAAACAAUGAACACGCCGGCGCGGGCACCGUCAAUAUUGCUAGCCGCUGCUUCUCCAUGUGUUUCAGUAUCUGGAUGCCCGGAGAAGACCUCAAUAGGACCAUAGGAGAUGCCACUGGAUGCAGAGGAGAUACAUGCCAAGUUCUCUCCGGAUGAAGAAUACUCCAACAAUAACCAAUCUGAAGACCAGCUGCCUAAGCAGGAAGUGCCAGGCAUAACUAAAGCAUCGGUUGUUUUCUACUAUAUAAUCACCAACCUCACAAUGGGGCUGUGAAUUCUCAUACUCAGUGUAAUCCGAUGAGAAGUGGCUAAGGGCCUCUUCCAUGCCUGGCACUUCCUCUCAGUAAGAUGCGUAAUUUAAGCUUCAUAGGCUUAUUAUGAAAACUAUUUCUUGUCAUGAAGAUUUAAGCAGGCAAAAAGAUAUGCCUAUACUGACACCACUUAGCAAGACAAAAUUUGAACCAUGAAAACCAAUGCUAGCGUCAUCAUUUGUAGAUAGUUUUUCUAUGCCUAUUUCCUCUCAGUAAGAUGCGUAAUUUAAGCUUCAUAGUCUUAUUAUGAAAACUAUUUCUUAAUGUCAUGAAGUUUUAAGCAGGCAAAAAGAUAUGCCUAUACUGACACCACUCAGCAAGACAAAAUUUGAACCAUGAAAACCAAUCCUAGCAUCUGUCAUCUAAAACGAAUAUACCAACUGCUUGCAUAAUUUCAGGAAAGGUCAGUAAUAUAGUUCUUUAGUGAUUUCUGUACUUAAGCUUUGUAAAACAAUUCCCUCUUUGCUUUCAGAGAAACCGCUUCUUGCACUGUUUCAGUGUUAGAUGUAUGUUCGUAUGCGACUCUUGCACACCAAAGUAUUUUUAUUCAGGCACAAGACUUCUGUUUAUACAUUGCACUCAGGAUUCAAUUCAUACUUGUGAUAAUUUGAAGCUACCAGGAUGAUGUUGGAUGUUCUUUUAGAGACUUUAGAGCUUCCAACAGCUGAGUAUCGAAGCAAAGCAUGUGAUGGCGGUAGAGUAUGCGUCACUGUUUUUUUUCCAUACGCCCACAUCAUAUGUUGAAGAUCAUGGCAGUCGUAUGGCUAUUCCUGGGGUGCAGUGUAUCGAUCAUGCAAUGUCAGAAGACACAGUUGCCAUGGAAGCAAUUGGAUACAUAAAAUGCAGGGUUAAGACUGAACUAAGAGACUACAAUUACAAGAACAUGAAGAGACUAGAUGAGGAAAAUCAGUCUCUAAAGCAUGAGCUGGCUGUAGCUAAGUAUAACAAGCAGAAAACAAUGGCAAAUAUCAGAUCCAUCAAGAACAAAUUAAUGAUGGCUAGGUAUAAGAACAAGAAAAAUGCUAUGGGCUGGUUCGUUCUUAUACAAGAUACAUCAUGGAUUAUUUGAUCAUAUAUGCAAUGUAACAGUGCUCAAUAGAUCGUCUGGGAAAGAACCCAUGGAUCAGCUUAUGAACAAACCUCUUAACAACAUUGAAAAGAUAGCAGAAAAGCUCAAGCGCAGGGUGCUCAAAUCAGAGAAGCGGCUAAAAAGCAUCAGGAGAGGUUUCUAGAGUUGUACUCUACAAGAAUGCAUCCUAAAAUAGACCUUUUAGAAUUGUAGUCUAUUUCGCCCCUUUUGUUUAACCGCAUAGGUUAACCGUAAUGUAUAAUUAUAUUUCUCUUUAGACCAACCACAGAGUAAGACUUGCCAAGACUAUGUGUGUACGAGCUAAUGAUCACUCUCUGUUGCUUGCACCA